AGCGGCAGGCCUAACACAUGCAAGUAGAACGGUAACAGAGAGAGCUUGCUCUCUGCUGACGAGUUGCGAACGGGUGCGUAACGCGUAUGCAACCUACCCAUAACAGGGGGAUAGCCCAUAGAAAUGUGGAUUAAUACCCCAUAACAUCAUAGAUUGGCAUCAUGAAAUGAUUAAAACUCCGGUGGUUAUGGAUGGGCAUGCGUGACAUUAGCUAGUUGGUGAGGUAACUGCUCACCAAGGCAACGAUGUCUAGGGGUUCUGAGAGGAUGAUCCCCCACACUGGUACUGAGACACGGACCAGACUCCUACGGGAGGCAGCAGUGAGGAAUAUUGCGCAAUGGAGGAAACUCUGACGCAGCCAUGCCGCGUGCAGGAAGACUGCCCUAUGGGUUGUAAACUGCUUUUAUAUAGGAAGAACUACAGCUACGUGUAGCUGUUUGACGGUACUAUACGAAUAAGGACCGGCUAACUCCGUGCCAGCAGCCGCGGUAAUACGGAGGGUCCAAGCGUUAUCCGGAUUUAUUGGGUUUAAAGGGUCCGUAGGCGGGUUAUUAAGUCAGUGGUGAAAUCCUACAGCUCAACUGUAGAACUGCCAUUGAAACUGGUAACCUUGAGUAUAAUUGAAGUGGGCGGAAUGUGUCAUGUAGCGGUGAAAUGCUUAGAUAUGACACAGAACACCGAUUGCGAAGGCAGCUCACUAAGUUAUAACUGACGCUGAGGGACGAAAGCGUGGGUAGCGAACAGGAUUAGAUACCCUGGUAGUCCACGCCGUAAACGAUGUACACUCGUUGCUGGCGAUACACAGUCAGUGACCAAGCGAAAGUGUUAAGUGUACCACCUGGGGAGUACGCU
rnacentral:rRNA from 1 species